AUAAAAAUUCCAUCUUCUUAAAUUAUAUAAAUAAAUUAUCGUAAACUUUAUUCGUACAACUUUUAAUCGAAAAUUUUGCAACCUGGUCUCUGAUUUUAACAAGCGUAUCAGGGUAUGAGAAAAAGAAAAAAAGAAAGAAAUAAAAGAUUCUAGAACAGCCAAGUUACAAAGACUGGAGCGUUUCAUAAAGAUUUAUUCUCGAAAAAUCGUGCAUCAGGUGUAUAUAAGUGGUACAAUAGAGAAACGGCAUAAGAAAGCUUAUUAAUUCCUAAUUCAUAAUAAUAUGCAGUAAUAAUAUGUAUUGCAAGUAUGUAUGCAAUAGACAUAAUGUAUGCAAGAGCUAUAUAUAAUUCUAACAAUGAUAAAGAAUCGUCGCUGCCCAACAUCAUCAUCAUCAUAAUAAUCAUAAUUAUCAUCGUCGUCAGCCAUACACGUAUUCUUUUAAUUCUUAUCACUUAUCUUAUGAUCUAAUAGAACUUAAAUAAGUACUUACAAUAAGUAUAGAAUAGAUUACGACGAAUUCUUUUCGAAUUGGAUUCUGCUCUUCUGAUAAUCUCCUCCAUUCACAUAAUUCAAAAUUCAUUGCUUUAGAAGAAAAUAACUCUUUGAUUACGUAGAUAAUGUUCGUUUCAAUCAUAAAGAAUAUGAAUGGUCGAUUCAAUUUAAUUUUAAUUUAAUUUCACUCAUACGUAAGAGAAAAUAUUCGUAAGAUCUCAUUUUCAAGGAACAAAUUUUUAUUCGUAUUUUUUUUUUAAUCGUCAAAGUGCAUUCUCAUAAUAGAAACUUGCUUGUUAGAUAAGAUCUCGGUUUCAAAGAGUAGAGAAAAUUUUCUUUUACUCAUAUUUUUUUUUAUAAUUCUAUGCGAUAAUUAAUUAAUGUGUGAAUUUUCCUAUUUAAUUUAGAUCCUUGUCUAUUAUUGUUUACAUUUUGCUUUCUUUUUUUUACUUUCUUCGAUCCAAACAUUCUUUAAUAACAACGACAAUUAAUGAAGAAGUAAUUAUAAAUUAAAAAUUAAAGUAAAAAAAGAGUUAUAAUUUUCUUCUUCAGGCAACAAAUUUUAAGAAGAGACACAAUUUGAAAGGAGAACAUUACACAUUUUCACCGCUUGAAAAAAUGAUACGUUUUCCCUGUUGAUUCACGUUUCCUUCCUCCUUUAAACUUUUCCUUACAAGUAAACAUACCAUACGUCCGUUUAUAAAGGUCCGUUUCCAAUUGUUAUUCGUCCACAAGUUGGAAACGCGUCCAACGAAGGAGAACAGCGAUGCAUAUUUCAAUCUGCUCAGCGAUACGACGGAUUCCUUAUUACUAAAGAACAAAAUUCUAUGCCUCGAGAGAAUUCCUCACUGGCCUAAGUCCUUUUUUUUUUCCACCUUUUUUUCUACUUAUCGAAUCGAUAUGAACGAAGAAGUUUCUCGUCGCUCUAUUAUCGUCCCUAUGGGACCAUUCUCGCGGCAAAUAAAACAGGAGUUUUAUCAGGUUCUCCUCUGAGCAAAACGACUCAUGGAUGUGUUCGAAGAAUUGAUGAUAACAAAUAUAAUAAAGUUCCAAUUAAAGAUCCUCUGGUCAAUACGAAAUGAGAAAGAAUGGAAAUUUAUUCAUUUAGUUUCCAAAUAGAUAUCGAUAAAAAUUUUUUCGGUAUAAUUUAUAUCGAAUUUUGUGAAUUAUAUCGAAUCAUACAGCGAUUAAUUCAACCAUUUUCGCUGUAGAUGUCGCAACAUGUCAUCAAACGAUCCAGUAUCUUGGUAUCUUAACCUUCAAUUGCUUCCAUGAAGAAUUAAAUUAAAUUUUCAAUUCAUAACUUAAUAUCAAUAUACGGAAUCUUCGAAGAUAACAAUAAUUGCCAAUAUCUUUUCACAAAUUUUAUUUCUUUUUGAACGAGAUAACGUGAUUAAUUGUGUUCAAUUUCUUGAGAAUCAGAUUACAGAAUAUCUUAUAAAUAUAAGAUCACUAUAGCGACAAUGAAACAAUACUCGACAAUCAUCGACAUUUACGGAUGACAUAUCGUCGACGUACACGUCCGUUCAUUAAUUAAUCCCAAGAGUUUUCUUUACGAGCCUCGAUUUUCAAAUUGCCGUAGAAAAUGGUCGAUUGAAUUUCCGCGAAGGCCUUGCAAUUUCUUCCGGAAUAUGCCGUGUUCGAGGACCUCUUUCAAGAGCACUUGCCCAUGCCGAUUGUGAUUUUUCUCUCUUCACUUGACUUUUUAUAAAUUUUUCUUUCAUUUUUUUUUUAUCGUUCAAAAUGUGAAAAAAGUGAAAACGUGGUAAUAUAACAAUUUCUUGAAUGUAAUUGAAAGCAAGAAAAGGCUUGUCGAAAAGAAAUUUAUCGAAAAAUGUUUCGAAAAAAAAAUGAAAUCAAUUCAUCCGAGAUAAAAUUUAAUUGAUAAAAUUGGCGAUUUUGUUUCGUAUUAAUGAUAAUUUAAAAAGGCAAAUUUGAUUUUAUAUUUGAUUUUAUGAAUAAUAUAAAACGAUACGAAUUAAAAAAUACAAGAGAAAAUAUUAUAUCGUUAUAAAAGAUACGAGUAAAUAAAAAUAUCUUUUUUAAAAAA